CUGACUAAUGUUUUUACCAUAAGCCGGAUGAAGAAUCCUGGAAAACCUGGAGGCUUGCACAGUGCUGCGGAGUUGUCACGGGGUUAAUCGAAGGAUCACCCGCCUUUGGAUCCAGAGAUUGUUUCUGUUCUUACGAAUCAACACAGCGACCUCCUACGUAUUGGAGACGUAUUCUCUGUUUUUUCCACAAGAGGGAACACACUGAUGUUAGCCUGCUUAACAAGACGAAAUCCUGGCUGAAGGUGGAAUGGCAAUCACAGCAGCAGUAAUGAUUAUGGAGGUGUUGACCCUGGUUCUUGGCAGCCUGAGCCUUUUGCUGCUCGUUCUGUGCGCUGGAUUCGAUUGCUGGAAGCAAGAUGCCAAAGACCCCCUCUCUUCCGUGGGCCUGAGUGUCCGGUGCCGUGGACUGUGGAGCGAGUGUAUCUUUGACAACGUGGCCGACCUCUGGACCUGUGACAUCCCAAUUUCUUAUCUCAAUGAACAUCCAGCUGUUCUCGUGGUCACCCGGGUCUUGGUGAUUCUGUCUGGGCUUCUGUCUUUUUCUGCCAUGCCAGCUUUCGUUGCCGGGAUGAGUUGCACCAAGCUUUUCCCCGACACACACACACGGAAACGCACAUUUUCUCUCGCUGCUGGAACCACCUUUCUCCUGGGCGGUAAGUGUCACCUCAACCUUUUCCUACGGUACGGAGCUAAGUGUGAUUUUUUUUUUUCUUGGUGA
rnacentral:lncRNA from 1 species